rnacentral:lncRNA from 1 species
GUAAUUUCCUCAUAGCCAAAUUCAGGAAGACAUGAUAUUUUCUUUCAUUGUAUUUGCCAAAUACUUGUCUUUCCCACUCCCUGUGCUCAAGUCUGAAACAUAUUCCCCCUUUAUGCCUUUGUAUGGAGCUACUGAAUAAUAUAACUGUGAUUUUCACCUAAGUAACAAAAUUCCUGACUCAUGUUCCUCAUCUGCAAAAUAGAUUAAUUAUUGUUUCUCUUCCAAGGUUAGUGAGAUAGAGUUACAAAAUUAAUUUUUAAUUCAACACAUAUUUAGUAAGUUAUUUAGUAUUUCCAGCACAAUUGAAAAGAUUUUAGCGUGUCAGUCAACAACUGCUUUGGAGAAAAAUACUAGGGGUUAAGAGGAAGGUGAAGGUGUAUCAUUUUAAAAAGCUGUUCAGGUAGAAACUUUUAAGAAAGUGAAACUGGACAAGGUAUUUGAAAAAAGUCAGAUAAAGAACUACGUGAGAAUCUGAAGGAGGAGGAUUUCUGCAAGAGGGAAUGAAGAGAAAGUCCCUGAAAUAGGAAUGAACACAGAUUUGCCUGUGUGGGCUGGUCAAUGAACAGCUGGCUGGGAGAAGGAGUUGAAGACACAGGCAGGGGCAAAUGAGGUCCCUAAACAACCAGUCAAAACAGACAAGAGACACCAGUACAACAAUGAUGGAUGACACAAACCUCACCUUUGAUGCUGCUCAUGAUGGAUUGCUGAGUCUGUUGAAACUUAUGCUUCGGGAGACCUAACAGAGCACAGAUCAUGAUGAUCAGCUCUUGAUAUAUGGAAGAUUACACCCUGAGACUUCACUGAUACUGCAAGAGUGGAAGUAGGUAGGUCAUUCAGAUGACUGACAGUGGUGGAAGUUAAUAAUUUUGGGGGUCAUAUUCAGUUCAGGACCACAAUAAUAUUUCGGUGCUAAUAUAUUUUAUCACAUUAAUUGCUUAUAACUUAAAAAAUGCUAACAUGUAAAUUUAAGAUGGAAUCAACCUUUCUCCUUUCAAUCCACAUAAUCUCAAACCUAAACUCUGUCUGUCUGGCCAAUGUAGAAAUAGAAUUCCAGAAGCUAGGUCCUUAACUUUGGUGUGCCUCCUAUCUUCUCAAAAUAGAGCACUACCAAUCUUUAAUUACAUCUCAAGUCAAUUUAUUUAGCAUAAUACUAUUUUGCUGUUAAGUUCAUGUGACAUAAAAGAAAUAUUUACAGAAAAAAGACAGGUGUUGAAAGCUUAAUUAUAUUAUUUUAAAAAUAUAUUAUAAUUCCAAAGUACAGUUUAAAGCACAAAAUUUCUCAUUUACAUUAGCUCUGGUCUACAGAUUUGACCCUGUGAAGUCACUUAGUUCAAGAAAAAGAAGAAUUUUUUUCCCUUCAAUGAAUCAGUAUAUUGACAAUAAGUUGGUAAUGACACCAUGCGCUCUUAAACUGUUUUUACUUAAUUUUCCAGACCUACAAAUGGCUUUCAAAAUGUACUGUAGAGGGCAGGUAAAAGUACAGUGAUCAGGACUAAAUUCAACUCCAGCUCAACCCCAGCUUGUGUAAACAAAGCGCCUCUGCUUUUGUCUGCUUCACAUUGUAAAGUUCUGAAAAAAGUACUUUAAAAGAUGACCCUAGCAGACAAAGAGGGAGAUUGCACACUAUUGUCCUAAGCCUAUUGCACUGUACUUACAGCUGACUUGAUCUGUACUGAAAUUAUAAAUUUCUACAGAUUUAUAAAUGUUAAAACUUGUGUCAAGAUUAUGAGGGUUAGGAUCAAUAUUGCUAUGAUCUUUUUGGUUACACUGAUGAAGCAUUUUUGGUGAAGAAAUAAAGGAGCAAUCAAAAGGAACAGGUUUAUGUGCAGAAAAGGCUAUUUUAAAUUUUAUUGUGAGAACUAACUGCUGUUAUUCCAUUUGAAAAUUUAGACAGUCAGAAUUCCAAUUUUUCCCAAUCUUUAAGUUCAGUAUGUUGAUUUAAAUACUGUAUUUGUGAUUGUGCAUAUUUCAAUGUCUUUUAAAUGAAUAAUGUUUAGUCUCAUUUACAGGCAUACAUUUUCACACAUUUACAACGCUAUUUAUAAAUUUAUAUACUGUUUUUCUUACUAAAUAAUUCUACUAAAUAUACCAAAUGUUUCCAAAUAGUAAAAUGACUUUGGUAAUAUAAAAAUUAAACAUACAAAAAUAGUGAGAUUUAGGUUUUUUUCACUUCUUGGGAUUGAACCCAGGUUCUUCACACUGAGCUACUUUUUAUUUUGAGACAGCCCAGCCCUUUUUAUUUUGAGACGGGAUCUUGCAACUUUGCUGAGAUGGGACUUGACCUUGUAGCCCUUUUGCCUCAGCCUCCCAAGUGCUAGUAUUAAGGCAUGUACCACUCUAGCAGAUGAGAUUCACGUUUUUCAAAAAGUUCUAGUUUGGUAAAAAAUAAAGUAUACUCCCCAAUUAAUAUUCUUUACAUAAAUUGUUUAAUUACACAUUUGAAAUUGGCAUUGUAUGGCUUUAGAGUGAAAGCUAAAAUUCUUUUUAAUAUCAAAGAAAAUAAAAUGUCAAUCAUAUACAAAUUCUUUUCUAAUAAAAUAUUUGUACUAUGUUUUUCAUUUCUUGUCAGAUUCUGUGAUAUGUUCUUCUGGUAGACUGUAUUUCCCAAUAAUGGUCACACUAUAUUCCCUAUCACCCAGG